CAUCUGUCUCAAGUAUUUUUACCCUUGGGACAUUACAGACACUUGAGCUCCCUGGGGAAGCAUGUUAAACUGCUGAGGGGUCUAGGAGAGACUUAAAGACUGAAGACAUGCUCUAUGGACAUGCAUGUAUCUUUUCUUUAUUCUAACUUUAAACCCAUUUCUCCCCAGCAGAGUUUUCUUUUUUUUUAAUUAGAUUUUAAAUUCACUCUUUGUAGAUUGAGCUACACAAUAGUUCUUUAAAACAUUGGAGGAGAAACUCUGCAAACUAAAGACAAGAGUUAUAUUGUGAGCAAAAUCAGUGGGAAAACUGUGUAGAAAUAUGUAAAAAAAAGUGUAAACAAUUGUCUUCAUCAUUUUCCUAAAUGUCUAAUUUUGGUGGAGAGCUUUGUAGAAUGGGUCAUGACCAAACUGGUUCAUCUAAUCAAGGAAGUAAAGAAAGGCCAUCAAUAAACCAACUGCAGAGAAGCCAUGGCAUCGGAGAGGCUGACAAGUCGCACUAAGGCCCCAACAAAGCACAACAUUUGAGAAGAAGGACAACUCACAAGACCUGCUUUAGAAUCCCUCAUAAACCCCACAACAAAAUUCCUGAAAGCCUCUUACUACUUCGGUUUCACAUCUUGGUAUUUUACCUCUGGCUUUUUUUCUACAAAACUCAAAAAAAGAAGACAAAAAAAUUAAGAGACUCAUUAUAACAUCAUUGACAAUGCCUGAUAAUUACAGAGAAGACAAUUUUCUCUUUGGUGGAGGAUCCAUUAUGCAUGCGUCUGUAUAUAGAUCAUAAUUAAAUCCUAUUCUUAUUUCUAAUAUAGGAAACAUACAAAGUCACUGUCACCAAAUUUAUUAUUGUACUCACGGUUUGAUAUUCAAAAUCAUUAUCCUUCUUUAUCAGAGACAUUAUCAUUUCAAACAUAAUUUAUUUAGUCUUUGAAGUUAUUUGAACUGUUAAAAAUAACUAUGUUUUAUUGUUCUUAUUCUCACUAAGUAACAGCCUAGUUUUCCUCUCCAGUAUCCUCACUAGUACAUGUAAAUAGAACUGAAUUAGGAAAACAGCAUGGACCAGACCUAAGGGUAUAUUUAUCUUGAUAGACCACAAAUCUCAUUACAUAGAUAUCUCAGAAAAUCCUCUUAAAGUUUAGAAAACUAUACAUUGCUUUUUGUUUGUUUUUUCCUGAUGGCUAAAGUCACAGUUUUAGACGUUUUUUAUUCUGUAUUUCAGAAGACACCUAAAAGCAUUCGGUGUGGGCCUUCAUAUUAUUUGACUAUUUCAAAGUAAACAUGAGGCUUAACUUGUUUAUUUGCUCAUUUAAAGGCAGUAAAUUGGAGAGGAAUUCAUGAAAGCUCUCAUCCUAUUUAAGCACAUCUAGAAAUUUCUUUAAAACAUGCCAUGUAUGGUUUAAUGCUUUAAUUUGAGUUUUCACCAGCAUCUACAUCAAAUAUUUCCUCCUGCAAUAACUUCCCCUCAUGCUCUAAGGACCCCUUUUUGAAGAAAGCAAGGUUACUCUCAGUCAGUCUGGGAGAGACAGAACUCUUCUUGGGAUAAAAGUCUGCUCCACUACUGAACUGACAAGAAUGAAAAAAAAAAGAAACCUCAAUGACUGCAGUGCUGGCAGAAGAACUUUGACCUACGUCUUCCAAGAAUUAUGAA
rnacentral:lncRNA from 1 species